GAUGAACGCUGGCGGCGUACCUAACGCAUGCAAGUCGAACGGACCCAAGUAGCAAUACGAGGGUUAGUGGCAAACGGGUGAGUAACACGUAGGGAUCUACCUUGAGGUGGGGAACAACGGACCGAAAGGUUCGCUAAUACCGCAUGUGGUCGUGAGACCAAAGGAUUUUCGCAAGAGAAUUCGCCUUGAGCGGAGCCUGCGUUCGAUCAGGUAGUUGGUGAGGUAACGGCUCACCAAGCCGAUGACCGAUAGCUGUUCUGAGAGGAAGAUCAGCCACACUGGGACUGUGACACGGCCCAGACUCCUACGGGUGGCUG
rnacentral:rRNA from 1 species